UACGUAGGGAGCGAGCGUUGUCCGGAAUCAUUGGGCGUAAAGAGCGCGUAGGCGGCCCGGUAAGUCCGCUGUGAAAGUCAAGGGCUCAACCCUUGAAUGCCGGUGGAUACUGUCGGGCUAGAGUCCGGAAGAGGCGAGUGGAAUUCCUGGUGUAGCGGUGAAAUGCGCAGAUAUCAGGAGGAACACCAAUGGCGAAGGCAGCUCGCUGGGACGGUACUGACGCUGAGGCGCGAAAGCGUGGGGAGCGAACAGG
rnacentral:rRNA from 1 species